rnacentral:rRNA from 1 species
AACGAACGCUGGCGGCAGGCCUAACACAUGCAAGUCGAGCGCGCCUUCGGGUGAGCGGCGGACGGGUGAGUAACGCGUGGGAAUAUGCCCUUCUCUACGGAAUAGUCCUGGGAAACUGGGGGUAAUACCGUAUACGCCCUUUGGGGGGAAGAUUUUUCGGGGAAGGAUUAGCCCGCGUUGGAUUAGGUAGUUGGUGGGGUAAUGGCCUACCAAGCCGACGUUCCAUAGCUGGUAUGGGAGGAUGAUCAGCCACACUGGGACUGAGACACGGCCCAGACCCCGACGGAGGGCAGGAGAGGGGAAUCUUAUACGAUGGGGGCAACCCUGAUCUAGCCAUGCCGGGUAAGUGAUGAAGGCCUUAGGGUUGUAAAGCCCUUUCAGCUGAGAAGAGAAUGACGGUACCAGCAGAAGAAGCACCGGCUAACUCCGUG